rnacentral:rRNA from 1 species
AACGAACGCCGGCGGCAGGCUUAACACAUGCAAGUCGAGCGCCCCGCAAGGGGAGCGGCAGACGGGUGAGUAACGCGUGGGAAUCUACCCAUCUCUACGGAAUAACGCAUGGAAACGUGUGCUAAUCACGUAUACGUACUUCGGGAGAAAAAUUUAUCGGAGAUGGAUGAGCCGGCGUUGGAUUAGCUAGUUGGUGGGGUAAAGGCAUAACAAGGCGACGAUCCAUAGCUGGUAUGAGAGGCUGAACUGCCACACUGGGACUGAGACACGGCCCAGACUCCUACGGGAGGCAGUAGUGGGGAAUAUUGAACAAUGGGCGCAAGUCUGAUACAGACAUGCCGAGUGAGUGAUGAAGGCCCUAGGGUUGUAAAGCUCUUUCACCGGUGAAGAUAAUGACGGUACCCGGAGAAGAAGCCCCGGCUAACUUCGUGCCAGCCGCCGCCGUAAUAC